AGAACGAACGCUGGCGGCAUGCCUAACACAUGCAAGUCGAACGAGACCUUCGGGUCUAGUGGCGCACGGGUGCGUAACGCGUGGGAAUCUGCCCUUAGGUACGGAAUAACAGUGAGAAAUUACUGUUAAUACCGUAUGAUGUCUUCGGACCAAAGAUUUAUCGCCUAGGGAUGAGCCCGCGUAGGAUUAGCUAGUUGGUGGGGUAAAGGCCUACCAAGGCUACGAUCCUUAGCUGGUCUGAGAGGAUGAUCAGCCACACUGGGACUGAGACACGGCCCAGACUCCUACGGGAGGCAGCAGUGGGGAAUAUUGGACAAUGGGCGAAAGCCUGAUCCAGCAAUGCCGCGUGAGUGAAGAAGGCCUUCGGGUUGUAAAGCUCUUUUACCCGGGAAGAUAAUGACUGUACCGGGAGAAUAAGCCCCGGCUAACUCCGCGCCAGCAGCCGC
rnacentral:rRNA from 1 species